CCCCGGUUGGUGCAGUGGUUAGCACAUUGUCUUUGCCUACUGUCGCCCUCUGUGGUGCAGUACCCGACCAACUCCCGUUGAGGCAAAGACAAAGGUCACGAGUAAAUCUUGUACCGGGGA